rfam:Otolemur garnettii contig141746, whole genome shotgun sequence.
GUCUACAACCAUACCACCUGAAUGUGCCCAAUCUCAUCUGAUCUCAGAAGCUAAGCAGGGUCAGGCCUGGUUAGUACUUGGAAGGGAGAUAAGUGGGUACCGUUGUGGCUGAUGCCC